rnacentral:sRNA from 1 species
GUGGCGCAGUGGGUAGCAGAUUUGCCUUUUGAGCAGAAGGUCAUGAGUUCGACUCCC